GUUUUAGGGGAAAAAUAUCUUUCCUGUACCUAAUUUGACUGACCAACCCAAUCAGCUGACUCUUUGCUAUAUUAAAAUUCUAAAGAUCGGAGUCCAUUAUUAAAUGAGUAGGAUUAGAAUAGAGAAUUUAUAAAAAUAAAGCCUUUUUUAAAAAAUAAAUACUUUUGGAUAAAGUAGUAGGCUUCAAGUGAAAUUCAGUUUUGGUCUCCUUUACAG
rnacentral:lncRNA from 1 species